rnacentral:rRNA from 1 species
AUUGAACGCUGGCGGCAGGCCUAACACAUGCAAGUCGAGCGAGCGGCGGACGGGUGAGUAAUGUCUGGGAAACUGCCUGAUGGAGGGGGAUAACUACUGGAAACGGUAGCUAAUACCGCAUACCAUCAGAUGUGCCCAGAUGGGAUUAGCUGGGUGGUGGGGUAACGGCUCACCUAGGCGACGAUCCCUAGCUGGUCUGAGAGGAUGACCAGCCACACUGGAACUGAGACACGGUCCAGACUCCUAAGGGAGGCAGCAGUAGGGAAUAUUGCACAAUGGGCGCAAGCCUGAUGGAGCCACGCCGCGUGAGUGAAGAAGGCCUUCGGGUUGGAAAGCACUUUCAGCGGGGAGGCGUUACCCGCAGAAGAAGCACCGGCUAACUCCGUGCCAGCCGCCGCGGUAAUAC